GGAAGGUUGUCCGACCUGGCCGAAGGAGCACGCCUGGAAAGUGUGUAGGCGUCACAAGCGUCUCAAGGGUUCGAAUCCCUUACCUUCCG
rnacentral:tRNA from 1 species